AUUGUUCGCUGGCGGCAUGCCUUACACAUGCAAGUCGAACGGCAGCACGGAGCUUGCUCUGGUGGCGAGUGGCGAACGGGUGAGUAAUAUAUCGGAACGUACCCUAGAGUGGGGGAUAACGUAGCGAAAGUUACGCUAAUACCGCAUACGAUCUAAGGAUGAAAGUGGGGGAUCGCAAGACCUCAUGCUCGUGGAGCGGCCGAUAUCUGAUUAGCUAGUUGGUAGGGUAAAAGCCUACCAAGGCAUCGAUCAGUAGCUGGUCUGAGAGGACGACCAGCCACACUGGAACUGAGACACGGUCCAGACUCCUACGGGAGGCAGCAGUGGGGAAUUUUGGACAAUGGGCGAAAGCCUGAUCCAGCAAUGCCGCGUGAGUGAAGAAGGCCUUCGGGUUGUAAAGCUCUUUUGUCAGGGAAGAAACGGUGGGAGCUAAUAUCUCUUGCUAAUGACGGUACCUGAAGAAUAAGCACCGGCUAACUACGUGCCAGCAGCCGCGGUAAUACGUAGGGUGCAAGCGUUAAUCGGAAUUACUGGGCGUAAAGCGUGCGCAGGCGGUUUUGUAAGUCUGAUGUGAAAUCCCCGGGCUCAACCUGGGAAUUGCAUUGGAGACUGCAAGGCUAGAAUCUGGCAGAGGGGGGUAGAAUUCCACGUGUAGCAGUGAAAUGCGUAGAUAUGUGGAGGAACACCGAUGGCCGAAGGCAGCCCCCUGGGUCAAGAUUGACGCUCAUGCACGAAAGCGUGGGGAGCAAACAGGAUUAGAUACCCUGGUAGUCCACGCCCUAAACGAUGUCUACUAGUUGUCGGGUCUUAAUUGACUUGGUAACGCAGCUAACGCGUGAAGUAGACCGCCUGGGGAGUACGGUCGCAAGAUUAAAACUCAAAGGAAUUGACGGGGACCCGCACAAGCGGUGGAUGAUGUGGAUUAAUUCGAUGCAACGCGAAAAACCUUACCUACCCUUGACAUGGCUGGAAUCCUUGAGAGAUCAGGGAGUGCUCGAAAGAGAACCAGUACACAGGUGCUGCAUGGCUGUCGUCAGUUCGUGUCGUGAGAUGUUGGGUUAAGUCCCGCAACGAGCGCAACCCUUGUCAUUAGUUGCUACGAAAGGGCACUCUAAUGAGACUGCCGGUGACAAACCGGAGGAAGGUGGGGAUGACGUCAAGUCCUCAUGGCCCUUAUGGGUAGGGCUUCACACGUCAUACAAUGGUACAUACAGAGCGCCGCCAACCCGCGAGGGGGAGCUAAUCGCAGAAAGUGUAUCGUAGUCCGGAUUGUAGUCUGCAACUCGACUGCAUGAAGUUGGAAUCGCUAGUAAUCGCGGAUAAACAUGUCGCGGUGAAUACGUUCCCGGGUCU
rnacentral:rRNA from 1 species